GAUGAACGCUAGCUACAGGCUUAACACAUGCAAGUCGAGGGGAAACGAUAUUGGAAGCUUGCUUCCGAUAGGCGUCGACCGGCGCACGGGUGAGUAACGCGUAUCCAACCUGCCCAUCACUUGGGGAUAACCUUGCGAAAGUAAGACUAAUACCCAAUGACGUCUCUAGAAGACAUCUGAAAGAGAUUAAAGAUUUAUCGGUGAUGGAUGGGGAUGCGUCUGAUUAGCUUGUUGGCGGGGUAACGGCCCACCAAGGCGACGAUCAGUAGGGGUUCUGAGAGGAAGGUCCCCCCANAUUGGAACUGAGACACGGUCCAAAACUCCUACGGGAGGCAGCAGUGAGGAAUAUUGGGUCAAAUGGGACGAGAGUCUGAACCAGCCAAGUAGCGUGCAGGAAGACGGCCCUUAAUGGGUUGUAAACUGCUUUUAUAAGGGAAUAAAGUGAGUCUCGUGAGACUUUUUGCAUGUACCUUAUGAAUAAGGACCGGCUAAUUCCGUGCCAGCAGCCG
rnacentral:rRNA from 1 species